ACAGCAGUCACCGUGCUCGGCUGACACUCCGGGUUAGCUGUGGGUGUCGAAAGGCUGUUGUUAUAGGAAGGGAGAAUAAGAGUAACACCUAGGUAUGAGGUGCAGACGAAGUGCAAGACACAAAUACUUGGGGUAUAGGAGAGGACAAUGAAGUACGAGGUGCAGACGAAGUGCAAGACACAAGUACUUCAAAGAGAGAACGGGGUAGCCGAGUAUAAGGUGCAGACGAAGUGCAAGACACAAAUACUGGGCGUACCAGAUAAGGAGUAUAACAAAGUACGAGGUGCAGACGAAGUGCAAGACACAAGUACUUUAGUUAUUAGGAGAGGAUAAUGAAGUACGAGGUGCAGACGAAGUGCAAGACACAAGUACUCUGAAAUGUCGAGGAAAAGAGUAUAU